UACGAAGGGGGCUAGCGUUGCUCGGAUUUACUGGGCGUAAAAGGCGCGUAGGCGGACAGUUUAGUCAGAGGUGAAAGCCCAGGGCUCAACCUUGGAAUUGCCUUUGAUACUGGCUGUCUUGAGUACGGGAGAGGUGAGUGGAACUCCGAGUGUAGAGGUGAAAUUCGUAGAUAUUCGGAAGAACACCAGUGGCGAAGGCGACUCACUGGCCCGUUACUGACGCUGAGGCGCGAAAGCGUGGGGAGCAAACAGG
rnacentral:rRNA from 1 species